GAUGAAGAACGCAGCGAAAUGCGAUAAGUAAUGUGAAUUGCAGAAUUCAGUGAAUCAUCGAGUCUUUGAACGCACAUUGCGCCCCCUGGUAUUCCGGGGGGCAUGCCUGUCCGAGCGUCAUUACAACCCUCAAGCUCAGCUUGGUGUUGGGCCCCGCCGCCCCGGCGGGCCCUAAAGUCAGUGGCGGUGCCGUCCGGCUCCGAGCGUAGUAAUUCUUCUCGCUCUGGAGGUCCGGUCGUGUGCUCGCCAGCAACCCCCAAUUUUUUUCAGGUUGACCUCGGAUCAGGUAGGGAUACCCGCUGAACUUAAGCAUAUCAAUAAGCGGAGGA
rnacentral:misc_RNA from 1 species